rnacentral:rRNA from 1 species
CGCGUAGGCGGGCAUGUAAGUCAGAUGUGAAAUUUAUGGGCUUAACCCAUAACCUGCAUUUGAAACUGCGUGUCUUGAGUGAUGGAGAGGUAAGUGGAAUUCCUAGUGUAGCGGUGGAAUGCGUAGAUAUUAGGAGGAACACCAGUGGCGAAGGCGACUUACUGGACAUUAACUGACGCUGAGGCGCGAAAGCGUGGGGAGCAAACA